UGGCAACAACGCGACUGGCGCCGGGUGGGUUACCGCCGGGGAGCGCGAGCAGGAGUAUCGACCGCCUGGGUGCUCCAC
rnacentral:ncRNA from 1 species